rnacentral:rRNA from 1 species
UACGUAGGGGGCAAGCGUUGUCCGGAAUCAUUGGGCGUAAAGCGCGUGUAGGCGGUUCGAUAAGUCUGCUGUGAAAGUCGGGGGCUCAACCCUCGAAAGCCGGUGGAUACUGUCGGGCUAGAGUGCGGAAGAGGCGAGUGGAAUUCCUGGUGUAGCGGUGAAAUGCGCAGAUAUCAGGAGGAACACCAAUUGCGAAGGCAGCUCGCUGGGACGUUACUGACGCUGAGGAGCGAAAGCAUGGGGAGCGAACAGG